rnacentral:snRNA from 1 species
AUCCAAGUGCACGGGCGUUUUCCUUCUCCGUGAAGCGAUAAGCUGAGGGAGGAAUUUUGCUAGUUGAAAACUACAACAGGACCGCUCCUUAUUGGGUUCGCCCGGUGAGGGGAUUUUUUGACAAAUCGCAUGACU